GCUGGGCACGGUGGCUUAUGCCUGUAAUCCCAGCACUUUGGGAGGCCGAGGUGGGUGGAUCACCUGAGGUCAGGAGUUCAAGACCAGCCUGACCAACAUGGUGAAACCCCAUCUCUA
rnacentral:SRP_RNA from 1 species